rnacentral:rRNA from 1 species
AUUGAACGCUGGCGGCAGGCCUAACACAUGCAAGUCGAGCGGAUGAAGGGAGCUUGCUCCUGGAUUCAGCGGCGGACGGGUGAGUAAUGCCUAGGAAUCUGCCUGGUAGUGGGGGAUAACGUCCGGAAACGGGCGCUAAUACCGCAUACGUCCUGAGGGAGAAAGUGGGGGAUCUUCGGACCUCACGCUAUCAGAUGAGCCUAGGUCGGAUUAGCUAGUUGGUGGGGUAAAGGCCUACCAAGGCGACGAUCCGUAACUGGUCUGAGAGGAUGAUCAGUCACCCUGGAACUGGGACACGGUCCAGACUCCUACGGGAGGCAGCAGUGGGGAAUAUUGGGCAAUGGGCGAAAGCCUGAUCCAGCCAUGCCGCGUGUGUGAAGAAGGUCUUCGGAUUGUAAAGCACUUUAAGUUGGGAGGAAGGGCAGUAAGUUAAUACCUUGCUGUUUUGACGGUACCUACAGAAUAAGCACCGGCUAACUUCGUG